rfam:Rhizobium sp. Root482 contig_14, whole genome shotgun sequence.
AGUCAAGAGUCUUUGGCAUCGUUUUGGUGAUCGAAUUUCUUUUGCCUUUUAAGAGGUGAACGAAAUG